rnacentral:rRNA from 1 species
CCGGAGAAUGUUAUCACGGGAGACACACGGCGGGUGCUAACGUCCGUCGUGAAGAGGGAAACAACCCAGACCGCCAGCUAAGGUCCCAAAGUCAUGGUUAAGUGGGAAACGAUGUGGGAAGGCCCAGACAGCCAGGAUGUUGGCUUAGAAGCAGCCAUCAUUUAAAGAAAGCGUAAUAGCUCACUGGUCGAGUCGGCCUGCGCGGAAGAUGUAACGGGGCUAAACCAUGCACCGAAGCUGCGGCAGCGACGCUUAUGCGUUGUUGGGUAGGGGAGCGUUCUGUAAGCCUGCGAAGGUGUGCUGUGAGGCAUGCUGGAGGUAUCAGAAGUGCGAAUGCUGACAUAAGUAACGAUAAAGCGGGUGAAAAGCCCGCUCGCCGGAAGACCAAGGGUUCCUGUCCAACGUUAAUCGGGGCAGGGUGAGUCGACCCCUAAGGCGAGGCCGAAAGGCGUAGUCGAUGGGAAACAGGUUAAUAUUCCUGUACUUGGUGUUACUGCGAAGGGGGGACGGAGAAGGCUAUGUUGGCCGGGCGACGGUUGUCCCGGUUUAAGCGUGUAGGCUGGUUUUCCAGGCAAAUCCGGAAAAUCAAGGCUGAGGCGUGAUGACGAGGCACUACGGUGCUGAAGCAACAAAUGCCCUGCUUCCAGGAAAAGCCUCUAAGCAUCAGGUAACAUCAAAUCGUACCCCAAACCGACACAGGUGGUCAGGUAGAGAAUACCAAGGCGCUUGAGAGAACUCGGGUGAAGGAACUAGGCAAAAUGGUGCCGUAACUUCGGGAGAAGGCACGCUGAUAUGUAGGUGAAGUCCCUUGCGGAUGGAGCUGAAAUCAGUCGAAGAUACCAGCUGGCUGCAACUGUUUAUUAAAAACACAGCACUGUGCAAACACGAAAGUGGACGUAUACGGUGUGACGCCUGCCCGGUGCCGGAAGGUUAAUUGAUGGGGUCAGCGCAAGCGAAGCUCUUGAUCGAAGCCCCGGUAAACGGCGGCCGUAACUAUAACGGUCCUAAGGUAGCGAAAUUCCUUGUCGGGUAAGUUCCGACCUGCACGAAUGGCGUAAUGAUGGCCAGGCUGUCUCCACCCGAGACUCAGUGAAAUUGAACUCGCUGUGAAGAUGCAGUGUACCCGCGGCAAGACGGAAAGACCCCGUGAACCUUUACUAUAGCUUGACACUGAACAUUGAGCCUUGAUGUGUAGGAUAGGUGGGAGGCUUUGAAGUGUGGACGCCAGUCUGCAUGGAGCCGGCCUUGAAAUACCACCCUUUAAUGUUUGAUGUUCUAACGUGGACCCGUGAUCCGGGUUGCGGACAGUGUCUGGUGGGUAGUUUGACUGGGGCGGUCUCCUCCUAAAGAGUAACGGAGGAGCACGAAGGUUGGCUAAUCCUGGUCGGACAUCAGGAGGUUAGUGCAAUGGCAUAAGCCAGCUUGACUGCGAGCGUGACGGCGCGAGCAGGUGCGAAAGCAGGUCAUAGUGAUCCGGUGGUUCUGAAUGGAAGGGCCAUCGCUCAACGGAUAAAAGGUACUCCGGGGAUAACAGGCUGAUACCGCCCAAGAGUUCAUAUCGACGGCGGUGUUUGGCACCUCGAUGUCGGCUCAUCACAUCCUGGGGCUGAAGUAGGUCCCAAGGGUAUGGCUGUUCGCCAUUUAAAGUGGUACGCGAGCUGGGUUUAGAACGUCGUGAGACAGUUCGGUCCCUAUCUGCCGUG